rnacentral:lncRNA from 1 species
UGACCAUGGUAAUCACAGCAGGUUACGCUGGCAUUUGAAUUUGUGUAGAACAAUUUGUCACCGAAUGUUGUAACGUACGCAAGAUCUGAAAGUUUGGUAUUGUUAACAUUGGUAAUUGUUUCGUCAUUCAGACUGAUCAUCUGUAUUCCUUUCUCUCUGGCACAAUAUAUUAAAUAUCCAUCUUUGUAUGCUACUCCACCAUUAUAUGAAUCAACUUUUAUUGAUUUCGUCUUUGAUUUCUUCUUUUAGUCGAUUAUAUUAAUCUGAUUUGAUUCACCGGAAGUUACAGCAAUAGAAUCAUCACCAAUAAAUACAACAUCAAACGUUCGACCAAUGUUCUUUAUCUCAAAAUCUUUUGAUCCGUCAGACUUUAGAACUGUUAAUUUAUUGUCCAUAUCAGAGGAGAAUACAUUAUUAGAAGAGCAUACCAUCCUAUUACCAGGAAGCAGUGAACAGCCAGUGACACCUGACAAAUUUGUACUGAUACGUUUCUGUAAUGUCAGAGUCAGGUUAUCUAUAUGUCUGGUUGGAAGAGCUACCAUAAUCUGGGCUUGUCUGUCCUUCCGUUUGUGAAUCGAAAAAUCACAUGGAUCAGAACAAACUAUUAUUUCACCAAACUUCGGCACGCUAUCUGUGAUUUGUUGCAAAGACUUGUUUAUCUGACAUGAAAUAUUGACUUGAUUUGUGGAGUCACUUGUGGCAAUCGAUUGUAUAAUUUUUUCUUCGCCUACAAUAUCUUUUUCGAUAUUUUUCAUGGUUAGAAAUGUUUGUAGUUCUGAUGCAUGCUGUUUAAAACUGGCAAAAUUUUCUUGUACUUCAGCGAUCUCUUUUUCCUUCUUUUUUAGAGAAGUUAACAAUUUUUCUAUUUUGCUUUUUUCUCUUUGUUUAACUGUCAUUAGUUCUUUAAUCAAGUCAUCCUGAAGUUUAUCAAGGUGAUAGUUAACGUUUAUCCUGGUUUGUUUUAUUGCUGCUUCAAUUUCUCUUUUCUUGUUUUCUAUAGAUUUUAAAUUUUCAUUCCUGUUUGUGCUUAGUCGUUUGAUAUUCUCGACGACUUCCUGCAGGGUUUGUUCGAUUUCAUUAAAUGCGUUUGAAGUUUUUACGUUUUUUAUGAGUUCAUUUAUGUCAGUUAAACCUUUACAAUCGUUGUGAGAUUUCACACAUUUCUUACAGCAAGGACAAUCGUGUUUUGCACAAAACAACUCGUAUUUCUCAUUAUGAAGUUUGCAGGUCUGAGAAAUUUGCAGGACUUCGCAGGGUAGGUUUUUGUAUUUGGCGAUAGAAACGGUUUCAUGGUUUUUUGUUCCCUUGGAAACUGCGUGAUGUUUCUUACAAUCUUCACAUAGUCCUUCGUCACAUUCGGAACACCAUACUACUGAAGGUUUGGUAAUCUGAAGGUUUUCACAAAUACCACAAAUACCCCAAUUGGUGGCCAUAAUCCUAAAAUAGAUUGCAUGUACUUACAUGAAUACUCUAAUAUAUGCUGAAAUGUCUCGCAUACUUUAUAGGUUAUAAUUAAAUUUUAUCUUUAAGGCCUUUAAUAUUAAUAUUAAAGUUCAAGUUUCAUUUAAAUUCAAUAUCAUUA